rnacentral:rRNA from 1 species
GAUGAACGCUAGCGGCAGGCCUAACACAUGCAAGUCGAGGGGUAUAAAAGAGCUUGCUUUUUUAGAGACCGGCAAACGGGUGCGGAACACGUACGCAAUCUGCCCUUAUCACGGGGAUAGCCCAGAGAAAUUUGGAUUAAUACCCGAUAGUAUUAUAAUAAGGCAUCUUGUUGUAAUUAAAGCUAUGGCGGAUAAGGAUGAAGCGUGCGCAAGAUUAGCUAGUUGGUGAGGUAACGGCUCACCAAGGCGACGAUCUUUAGCUGAUGUGAGAGCAUGAUCAGCCACACGGGCACUGAGACACGGGCCCGACUCCUACGGGAGGCAGCAGUGAGGAAUAUUGGUCAAUGGACGGAAGUCUGAACCAGCCAUGCCGCGUGAAGGAUGAAGGCGUUCUGCGUUGU